GGUUAAGCGACUAAGCGUACACGGUGGAUGCCCUGGCAGUCAGAGGCGAUGAAGGACGUGCUAAUCUGCGAUAAGCGUCGGUAAGGUGAUAUGAACCGUUAUAACCGGCGAUUUCCGAAUGGGGAAACCCAGUGUGAUUCGUCACACUAUCAUUAACUGAAUCCAUAGGUUAAUGAGGCGAACCGGGGGAACUGAAACAUCUAAGUACCCCGAGGAAAAGAAAUCAACCGAGAUUCCCCCAGUAGCGGCGAGCGAACGGGGAGCAGCCCAGAGCCUGAAUCAGUGUGUGUGUUAGUGGAAGCGUCUGGAAAGGCGCGCGAUACAGGGUGACAGCCCCGUACACAAAAAUGCACAUGCUGUGAGCUCGAUGAGUAGGGCGGGACACGUGGUAUCCUGUCUGAAUAUGGGGGGACCAUCCUCCAAGGCUAAAUACUCCUGACUGACCGAUAGUGAACCAGUACCGUGAGGGAAAGGCGAAAAGAACCCCGGCGAGGGGAGUGAAAAAGAACCUGAAACCGUGUACGUACAAGCAGUGGGAGCACGCUUAGGCGUGUGACUGCGUACCUUUUGUAUAAUGGGUCAGCGACUUAUAUUCUGUAGCAAGGUUAACCGAAUAGGGGAGCCGAAGGGAAACCGAGUCUUAACUGGGCGUUAAGUUGCAGGGUAUAGACCCGAAACCCGGUGAUCUAGCCAUGGGCAGGUUGAAGGUUGGGUAACACUAACUGGAGGACCGAACCGACUAAUGUUGAAAAAUUAGCGGAUGACUUGUGGCUGGGGGUGAAAGGCCAAUCAAACCGGGAGAUAGCUGGUUCUCCCCGAAAGCUAUUUAGGUAGCGCCUCGUGAAUUCAUCUCCGGGGGUAGAGCACUGUUUCGGCAAGGGGGUCAUCCCGACUUACCAACCCGAUGCAAACUGCGAAUACCGGAGAAUGUUAUCACGGGAGACACACGGCGGGUGCUAACGUCCGUCGUGAAGAGGGAAACAACCCAGACCGCCAGCUAAGGUCCCAAAGUCAUGGUUAAGUGGGAAACGAUGUGGGAAGGCCCAGACAGCCAGGAUGUUGGCUUAGAAGCAGCCAUCAUUUAAAGAAAGCGUAAUAGCUCACUGGUCGAGUCGGCCUGCGCGGAAGAUGUAACGGGGCUAAACCAUGCACCGAAGCUGCGGCAGCGACGCUUAUGCGUUGUUGGGUAGGGGAGCGUUCUGUAAGCCUGCGAAGGUGUGCUGUGAGGCAUGCUGGAGGUAUCAGAAGUGCGAAUGCUGACAUAAGUAACGAUAAAGCGGGUGAAAAGCCCGCUCGCCGGAAGACCAAGGGUUCCUGUCCAACGUUAAUCGGGGCAGGGUGAGUCGACCCCUAAGGCGAGGCCGAAAGGCGUAGUCGAUGGGAAACAGGUUAAUAUUCCUGUACUUGGUGUUACUGCGAAGGGGGGACGGAGAAGGCUAUGUUGGCCGGGCGACGGUUGUCCCGGUUUAAGCGUGUAGGCUGGUUUUCCAGGCAAAUCCGGAAAAUCAAGGCUGAGGCGUGAUGACGAGGCACUACGGUGCUGAAGCAACAAAUGCCCUGCUUCCAGGAAAAGCCUCUAAGCAUCAGGUAACAUCAAAUCGUACCCCAAACCGACACAGGUGGUCAGGUAGAGAAUACCAAGGCGCUUGAGAGAACUCGGGUGAAGGAACUAGGCAAAAUGGUGCCGUAACUUCGGGAGAAGGCACGCUGAUAUGUAGGUGAAGUCCCUCGCGGAUGGAGCUGAAAUCAGUCGAAGAUACCAGCUGGCUGCAACUGUUUAUUAAAAACACAGCACUGUGCAAACACGAAAGUGGACGUAUACGGUGUGACGCCUGCCCGGUGCCGGAAGGUUAAUUGAUGGGGUUAGCGCAAGCGAAGCUCUUGAUCGAAGCCCCGGUAAACGGCGGCCGUAACUAUAACGGUCCUAAGGUAGCGAAAUUCCUUGUCGGGUAAGUUCCGACCUGCACGAAUGGCGUAAUGAUGGCCAGGCUGUCUCCACCCGAGACUCAGUGAAAUUGAACUCGCUGUGAAGAUGCAGUGUACCCGCGGCAAGACGGAAAGACCCCGUGAACCUUUACUAUAGCUUGACACUGAACAUUGAGCCUUGAUGUGUAGGAUAGGUGGGAGGCUUUGAAGUGUGGACGCCAGUCUGCAUGGAGCCGACCUUGAAAUACCACCCUUUAAUGUUUGAUGUUCUAACGUUGACCCGUGAUCCGGGUUGCGGACAGUGUCUGGUGGGUAGUUUGACUGGGGCGGUCUCCUCCUAAAGAGUAACGGAGGAGCACGAAGGUUGGCUAAUCCUGGUCGGACAUCAGGAGGUUAGUGCAAUGGCAUAAGCCAGCUUGACUGCGAGCGUGACGGCGCGAGCAGGUGCGAAAGCAGGUCAUAGUGAUCCGGUGGUUCUGAAUGGAAGGGCCAUCGCUCAACGGAUAAAAGGUACUCCGGGGAUAACAGGCUGAUACCGCCCAAGAGUUCAUAUCGACGGCGGUGUUUGGCACCUCGAUGUCGGCUCAUCACAUCCUGGGGCUGAAGUAGGUCCCAAGGGUAUGGCUGUUCGCCAUUUAAAGUGGUACGCGAGCUGGGUUUAGAACGUCGUGAGACAGUUCGGUCCCUAUCUGCCGUGGGCGCUGGAGAACUGAGGGGGGCUGCUCCUAGUACGAGAGGACCGGAGUGGACGCAUCACUGGUGUUCGGGUUGUCAUGCCAAUGGCACUGCCCGGUAGCUAAAUGCGGAAGAGAUAAGUGCUGAAAGCAUCUAAGCACGAAACUUGCCCCGAGAUGAGUUCUCCCUGAC
rnacentral:rRNA from 1 species